GGGGAUGUGGUCUAGUGGUAUGACGUUUCCUUAGCACUUGCCUAACGGGCACUAGCGGCCUGAUUACGUAAGUGGAAAAGGUUCUGGGUUCGAUUCCCAGCUUCUCCA
rnacentral:tRNA from 1 species